GACGCACGCUGGCGGCGUGCCUAAUACAUGCAGUAGGACGCUGAAGAGAGGAGCUUGCUCUCUUGGAUGAGUUGCGAACGGGUGAGUAACGCGUAGGUAACCUGCCUUGUAGCGGGGGAUAACUAUUGGAAACGAUAGCUAAUACCGCAUAACAAUGGAUGACACAUGUCAUUUAUUUGAAAGGGGCAAUUGCUCCACUACAAGAUGGACCUGCGUUGUAUUAGCUAGUAGGUGAGGUAACGGCUCACCUAGGCGACGAUACAUAGCCGACCUGAGAGGGUGAUCGGCCACACUGGGACUGAGACACGGCCCAGACUCCUACGGGAGGCAGCAGUAGGGAAUCUUCGGCAAUGGGGGCAACCCUGUCCGAGCAACGCCGCGUGAGUGAAGAAGGUUUUCGGAUCGUAAAGCUCUGUUGUAAGUCAAGAACGAGUGUGAGAGUGGAAAGUUCACACUGUGACGGUAGCUCUACCAGAAA
rnacentral:rRNA from 1 species